UACGUAGGGUGCAAGCGUUGUUCGGAUUUAUUGGGCGUAAAGGGUCCGCAGGGGGUUUGUUAAGUCUGAUGUGAAAUCCAACGGCUCAACCGUUGAACUGCAUUGGAAACUGAUGAACUAGAGUACUGGAGAGGUAAGUGGAAUUCCUGGUGGAGCGGUGGAAUGCGUAGAUAUCAGGAGGAACACCGAGAGCGAAGGCAACUUACUGGACAGUUACUGACCCUCAGGGACGAAAGCAUGGGUAGUAAACAGG
rnacentral:rRNA from 1 species